rnacentral:rRNA from 1 species
AUGAACUUUAUGUAUGAACUUGUAUUAAUUUGGUCUAUUCGGUGUUAUGUAAUGAAGAUGAGCCGACAAUGGAUGUACGAUGACCGAUGCUCUCCCCAGUUCGUUGAGGGCGUGCGUACCUUUCUGCUUGCGGCCGAGGCAAACAAGAGGGCGGAUGGUUUUAUGCCUUGUCCAUGUGCUCACUGUAAGAAUGGUCACAAUUACUCUACGUCAAGAACCAUUCACGUCCACCUGUUUAAGACCGGUUUCAUGCCCCGUUAUAAUGUUUGGACCAAGCACGGAGAAAGAGGGGUUAUGAUGGAAGACAAUGAAGAAGAAGAGGAUGACGACAGCUAUCCUGGCCAUGGGUUCCCUGAAUACGAUGAUACAACAAUGGGGGAAGAAGCUGAGCCGGUAAUGCGGGAAGAAGCUGAGCCGGCAAUGCAGGAAGAAGCUAAAGAAGAGGCAUCAGAUGAGCCCGUUGAUGAUCUAGGUCGGGCCAUUGCCGAUGCAAAGAGAAACUGCGCAAGUGAUUUGGAGAAGAAGAAGUUGCAGCGCAUGUUAGAGGAUCACAAAAAAUUGUUGUACCCGAAUUGCGUAGGUGACAAGAAAAAGCUGGGCACCACACUGGAAUUGCUGCAAUGGAAGGCAGAGAAUGGUGUAUCUGACAAGGGAUUUGGAAAGUUGCUGGUAAUAAUAAAGGAUAUGCUUCCAAAGGACAACGAAUUGCCCGAGAGUACGUACGAAGCAAAGAAGGUUGUCUGCCCUCUAGGGUUAGAGGUGCAGAAGAUACAUGCAUGCCCUAAUGAUUGCAUCCUCUACCGUGGUGAGUACGAGGAUUUGAACGCUUUCCCGGUAUGUGGUGCAUUGCGCUAUAAGAUCUGCCGCGAUGACCCUGGUGAUGUCGAGGGCCGGCGCCCUAGGAAGAAGAUUCCUGCCAAGGUGAUGUGGUAUGCUCCUAUAAUACCACGAUUGAAACGUUUGUUCCAAAACAAAGAGCAUGCCAAGGCGAUGUGA